rnacentral:rRNA from 1 species
UACGUAGGGUGCGAGCGUUGUCCGGAAUUAUUGGGCGUAAAGGGCUCGUAGGCGGUCUGUCGCGUCAGGAGUGAAAACUCGGGGCUUAACCCCGAGCCUGCUUCUGAUACGGGCAGACUAGAGGUAUGCAGGGGAGAACGGAAUUCCUGGUGUAGCGGUGAAAUGCGCAGAUAUCAGGGGGAACACCGGUGGCGAAGGCGGUUCUCUGGGCAUUACCUGACGCUGAGGAGCGAAAGCGUGGGGAGCGAACAGG